UGGGGAUUAUUGGACAAUGGGCGAAAGCCUGAUCCAGCACAUGCCGCGUGCUGUGAAGAAGGUCUUCGGAUUGUAAAGCACUUUAAGUUUGGGAGGAAGGGCACUAAGUUAAUACCUGUGACUGUUUUGACGUUACCGACAGAAUAAGCACCGGCCUAACUGCUGUGC
rnacentral:rRNA from 1 species